UUUUGUACGGAAAUUCUCCAUGUUGGGUUGUGUUCUCAAUAAUGAAUUUGAGAAUAUGGGUAACGUGAUGCCUCAGAGGGGUACUGCUGUCUCAGGAAAUGCAAACUGAGCAGAGCAGGAGAGAUUGAAGCUAGUGAAAAUGGCAAUGGAAAAGAUUUUAAGGCAAUCUGGAGGAUCAGGAUUGGCUAUUAUUAUUCCAUCCUGAAAAAAAUAAGACCAGGGCACCUGAUAAUUCUGCAUUGCCCAGAACCGAUGAAAUUCUGCCCUCAGUUAAACCAUGAGCUAUGAUUUCAAUAGAAGGGGUCAGGGUGUAGCUGAGUUCAGAGUAUAACAUGGCCCUAAGUUUGACUGGUGUGAGGCACCCCUAUGCCGCAGGUGAAGUGUUGGAAAGCUGCUCCGUUCAAAAAGCACAACAGCAUUUGUUCAGAGGAAAAGAUCCUGGGUCAGAUUCUGCUUUCAGUUACACUGGUGUAAAUCUGGAGUAAUUUCACUAACAUUCAGAGGAAUUAUUCCAAAACUGUAUCAGUGUAAAGUGAGUGCAGCAUCUGGCCCAGUCUCUGUUUCCUGAAAAUGGAUGCCAUCAUGCUAAUUGAAAACAACAGACACAUUGAAAAGCAGCAAGAGGAGACACUGAUGUAGCAAUUUUCUUGUAAAAUGCCAUUUCAUUUCUCUCCUGACAGUGUAAGAGAAUUAGCCAAGCUGUACUCUAAGAACCAGAGCCUCAGCUGGUGAAAAUCAGCAUAGCUGCUGUGCUGAUUCACACCAGCUGAGGAGCUGUAUUCUAAAUACUUGUGUUUAGAACUCUGCAUAAGUUUAUGCACAGGAAAUAACAGCUAAGCUUAAAGAGAUAUUGGGCCUGAUUCUCCUCUCAUACCCAGUUAAAUCAUGAGUAAUUUCAUUUAAAUCAGUGAAAUUACACAUGUACAAAACUGGGGUGAGAGCAGAAUCUUGAAAUGCAUGUGGGCCAUAAUAAUAAUUAGUGUUUUGUGCAUCUCCAGUACUUUUUAGCUGACUUCAUGCAGGACUUUAUGCCCAUUUAACAGAUGAGGAAACUGGAGAAAAUUGGUGAAGUGACUUGCUCAAGGUAAUGCUACAAUUCAGUGGCAGUUGGGACAAGAGCAGAGAUCUCCUCUUGCCCUCAGUCCUAUUUCUAACCACUAGACACCAUUGCCUCUGGCUGCUUAAGAUAAGAUUCUCCCAGCAGGCUUCAAAUCUUAAUUGGAAAAUCCUUCUCUUUAACUGCAAGGAAAUCAGGGGUUAAUUUCAUAGAUGGAAAGGGAAAAAUCUUACCGACUUCUUCUGCAACAGCUGGUGAGGUAGCUGUCUCUGCACCUUUCCUUUUGGGGAGGACUCUGUGUUCUGUCCAGCACACUGGAGAGACACUUUCCCCCUGCCCUGCUUCUUGCUGCACCGAAUUUCCUUUGACUCACUCUUCUUUGUUGCCACAGGAAUCUUUCUACAUUAAACUGAUGGGCCUGGCAGAAGCUUCCAGUCAAUUCACUUUCACCACCACAGCAGCAGCAAGUCUUCUCUCCAGCUGUACACUCAAAGAGCAGGGCACAGGGGAAAACGCUUGAAAAGCCUGAGUUGCAACACUUUCAAUACGAAAGAAAUAAAAUUUUCAUAAAAGGGGGGUGUCUGGGCAUUAGCUCCCAAGAGUGCAAUGUCUUUGGAACAUUACAAAACAAUCCUUUGUGUGUUUCCAAACUGCUGCAGGGCAAAAGGAGAUCAAAAAAAAUUUGUCAUUAGAAUUCUUCCACCCCUCCUUCAGACACUCUGCCUUGGCUUGAUUUUGUUCAAAAUAUCCCUUAGGGAAAUAGCCAAGGCUACAGUAUUCUCUUCAGCAAAACGGCCUGGAAAGAAUUAAUAGUCUCUUCAACAGCAAGAUUCUUUUUCUGCUGAGAAUUGAAAUAUUUGUGACGCUUAUUUAAUUCAUGGCUUUAGAUUUCAGGGUUCCUGUCAUGGGGCAUCCAGUAGAUUUCAAAUUCACAGGCCUUUUGUCCCUCCAGCCAUUUGACUGACAGCCUCAGGAUGCCCUUCCAUGGCUACUGACUUCUCUGUUUGCAAAGAUAUACAGACUGAGUGUCUUCCAAUUUCCUGUAUUGUCUGCUUUCAAAUGUUGCCUUCAAAUAUUUGCAACAUGCA